AAUACAUGCAGUCGAGCGCAGGAAGCCGUUUUGAACCCUUCGGGGGGACGAACGGUGGAAUGAGCGGCGGACGGGUGAGUAACACGUAAAGAACCUGCCCAUAGGUCUGGGAUAACCACGAGAAAUCGGGGCUAAUACCGGAUGUGUCAACGGACCGCAUGGUCCGCUGAUGAAAGGCGCUCCGGCGUCGCCCAUGGAUGGCUUUGCGGUGCAUUAGCUAGUUGGUGGGGUAACGGCCCACCAAGGCGACGAUGCAUAGCCGACCUGAGAGGGUGAUCGGCCACACUGGGACUGAGACACGGCCCAGACUCCUACGGGAGGCAGCAGUAGGGAAUCUUCCACAAUGGACGAAAGUCUGAUGGAGCAACGCCGCGUGAACGAUGAAGGCUUUCGGGUCGUAAAGUUCUGUUGUAAGGGAAGAACAAGUGCCGCAGGCAAUGGCGGCACCUUGACGGUACCUUGCGAGAAAGCCACGGCUAACUACGUGCCAGCA
rnacentral:rRNA from 1 species